GUUCUUACUUUGGCAGCACAUUUACUAAAAUUGGAACGAUACAGAGAAGAUUAGCAUGGCCGCUGCCCAAGGAUGACACGCGAAUUCAUGGAGUGUUCCAUAUUUUU
rnacentral:snRNA from 1 species